GCCCAGACUCCUACGGGAGGCAGCAGUGGGGAAUAUUGGGCAAUGGGCGCAAGCCUGACCCAGCAACGCCGCGUGAAGGAAGAAGGCUUUCGGGUUGUAAACUUCUUUUCUCAGGGACGAAGCAAGUGACGGUACCUGAGGAAUAAGCCACGGCUAACUACGUGCCAGCAGCCGCGGUAAUACGUAGGUGGCAAGCGUUAUCCGGAUUUACUGGGUGUAAAGGGCGUGUAGGCGGGAAAGCAAGUCAGAUGUGAAAACUCAGGGCUCAACCCUGAGCCUGCAUUUGAAACUGUAUUUCUUGAGUGCUGGAGAGGCAAGCGGAAUUCCGUGUGUAGCGGUGAAAUGCGUAGAUAUACGGAGGAACACCAGUGGCGAAGGCGGAUUGCUGGACAGUAACUGACGCUGAGGCGCGAAAGCGUGGGGAGCAAACAGGAUUAGAUACCCCUGUA
rnacentral:rRNA from 1 species